rnacentral:snRNA from 1 species
GUGAGGCCAUUUGACUGUGAUAUUUGAUACUCCCAUUAACUGCUAGGGCUGGUUUGGCUUGUCUGGCUGGUGAGUUCUGGUGUCCCCUUCACUUCUCAUACUUGGUGGGAGAAGACAGCCCUCUCUGCCAAGGGUAUAGAGUAGCUGGGCUCCCAUGCUAGAACCUUCAAACAAACUUUGAAAGGCCACCGUUGGGUAGGUAGCCAGACUUCCAAGGCAGCCUCAUCCAAAUGAGGCCCUGCAGGGUAGUCUGUAUUU